GCCCACAGGUGUUUAUUGUAAUAGCGUAGGAAUUUUAUUUUUCUGCCUUUAAUUUCUUCAUUUUUUAACUGCGUGGUUAGUAAUCUUAGGGAGUGCAAGCCUUGAAUUAACAUAGCUCACUAAUUACAAGAUAAUAUAAUUGAAUUUAACCACAUGAUUGUGCCACACACACACACUUUAGGGUAACCUCUCUUGUUGCCUUAUUACUGUUUCUUAUUGUUGUUGCCUUAUUGUUGUUUCCUGUUGCCUUAAUUUGUAAAAAUAGUCAAGUCCCUCGAUUCCGAGGAUACCUAAAGCAAAUGUUGCCCUCAGUUCAUUCAUCGUCAGUUUUGUCCCUCGAUGUUGCCUCGGAAAAUGAUGAUUUGUCCCCAUGGCUAAGGUAUCCUCGCAUGAUGCCUAAAAAGAUUAAUGACUAUUAUAUCCUUCCCUUUGACUACCUGCCCUCUUUAUGGCAGGGGCAGUCUUAUGGCGAACGAAAACUCCGAUGACCCUUUACAUCCAAUAAAAGGACUUCCUACCCUCCUAUGGUAUGUGUAACACGGUGAAUUGACUUUUAUUUUGUAUAAGCAACAAUGUUGCGGUGAGCAAGAGUCGCCACCGACUUUUAUUUUAUCCAAUUAGGAAAGGUAUAAAAGAACAGGAAAGACCUUCUUUAAAAAGAGAUUGAGUUCGGGGGUAGGUUAUGAAAAGGAAAGGUGUAAGCACCCUUUUCAUCCGUAGUUAUCUACGGGAUCUUAGUUGCUUGGCUCACUUUUGUUUGAAAUGUUUGAUUUGUUUGAAAAAGUAGUGUGUGUUUAGAAAAACACUUUUGUUUGAAAAUGUCUAAAAAGACAAUGUUAAAAAACAUGGUGUGAAAAGUAUCUGUUUUUGUUUGAAUUGAUUGUGAGCAAGCACUUAAGAGUUCCUACCCUAAUUCGUAAGGUCUUUCCUAUUCAUUAAGACUUUCCUUGAGCGAUAGUACUAUCCAUACCAUAUAAGGGUAGGUAGUCCUAUACAUUGGAUGUGCGGGUCAUUGAAUCGUCUUAGGGACUAUCCAUACCAUAUGAGGGUAGGAAGUCCUAUGAGAUGUGAAUAGUCAUAAAGGCAACCAGUAAGGAUACCUUAGCCAUCGGAGGGACAAUCACCAUUUAAUCGAGGGACAAUAUCAUUUAUACGGAAAGGCGACAUCGAAGGGACUAUGAUCUUUAAAUCGGAGGGACGUGGUGAUUUUGAAUCGAAGGCAACACGGACUAAGGUAUCCCUACGCUCGAAGGGACUUGACUAUUGUUUUUCGAAAGGCAACCAAGAGGGGGAACCCUAAAGGUGAGUGUGUGAGCAAUAAAAGGGUGUGUUAAUUUCAGUUAUAUUAUCUUAAAGUUAGUGAUCUAACGGUUACUUUUAUCUUACCAUACAAUCCUAAAUCAUACAUCUAAACAGAUAAUAACAGCAGUUAUAAUGUGCGGAAAGUAAAAGUGCGGGAAGUAAAUGUCAUACGCUAUUACAGGGCUUCGGGGAGGGGGUUACAUAAUUCAAACGGGGAUGAAAAUUAUUACAAAACCCGAAUUAAAAAUAAUAUAUACAAGACAUAAAUGGUAAACGUCCGAAAGAUCCAAAAGUCUUGGUCUCAAGUGGUACCUCACAAAAAUAAGAAAAUGUUAGAAAAAUAACAUGGAAUAAUGAAGUAAAAAUAUGAACCAAAAUUGAUUUAAAAAGAAAUUAUAUGAAAAGAGAAAUAUAUAUUUUUUGUAUUUUUAAUAUAAAAUAUAAAUCUAAUAUUUUUGUAUUUUUUGAAAUUACUUUUAACGACUAAAGGAACUAACUUUUAAAUCAAUUUAGAGAAGAAAACAAAAACUAAUAAGAGUAUUAAAAUGGGCUGUACAAACAGAGCAAAAGUGGAGUGCAAAAAGUACAAAGGGGAAUGUCAAGUGGAUUCGAUGGGCUUAUUUGAGUUGGCCCAAAAGCAGAAUUUUGUAGUAAAAUAAAAACUGAGGGGGGUGAUUGAUGCGUAGGGAGUGUGGCUGAACAACACCAAGUAGGGCCCAUACCCGAUGGCCCAAUUGCCCCAUUCACUUAACAAACACACAAAAGAAACCUAGAAUCAGAACCAGAAACGGCUGCCCCCCAUUUUCUUUCCAUCGUUUUUUCUGUCAUCGUGAAAAACUCACCGAUUCUCAAAUCACCAUUUUUUUUAUAUUGAAGCAAGAACAACAAUAACAUUUGAAUUAAUACAAUGCAAUCAAUAGAAGAGAUAAGAUGCUAACCUUCAUGGCCUUGACUAUGACAACAACCGGAUUUUCAUGGUGGCGGAGAGUGGUGGUUCCGAUGGCCGGGCGAUUGAGGUGAUGAUGAAGAUCGAACCGUGUUGCUUUGUGUCUCGGUGAUGGUUGUGCGAAGAUUGAAUCGGAGUUGGUGCGAGUCGAUGCGUUGUCGCUGAGGGUGUCACGGCGGAGAUCGGCGUGGAGGAGUCGAGAGAAGGCGUGAGUGCCGUUCCGGCGGUGCUUAGACUUCGGAAUUGGUUGUGUCGGCUUCGAUUUAGAAUCUUCUUCUUCUUUCUAUCGCUGUGUUUUUGUUGUGCAAUUUGUUUGUUGUAGUGGCUGCAAAAGAAACAAAAAACGAAUGUUGUGUUGUUAAUUCGAUGAAUUUGAAAGAAAUUGAUGUUAUCACUGUUGUUUCUUCAAAUUCUGCAUCGCCAUUGUUUAUGCUUGCAGGUAUGUUGUUAAUGGAGCUGUUGAUGAUGAGAUAAAUCGGCAUUCGUAUGUUGACGCUGAUGAAGAGUUGAGUUGAUGUUGUACAUCGGAGAGAGGAGGUUGUGAUUUGAGUUCUGUUGGCCAUGGAUAUUUGCCGUGACACCAUAUCAGACUGGAGCUUGCGGCGAUGGGCUUGAGGCUGUGAGCAGGGAUUGAUUCCGAUUGUGAGUGUUGCUGUGCAUAGAAGACUUUCCAGAGGCUGCCGCUACUUGAAGCUAGUCAGAGAUGUCGGCCACGACGACUUGUGAUUUGUCUUUACGUUAUUUCUCCCAUUUCUGUUGUUUUUCAGUCUGAUUUUUCCUGCAAAAGACUUGAAAUACAUUGUUACUGAUAUUUCAAUAAUUUGGAGUUAUGUUUUUGUUCAUUGUAUUUGAAUAAUUGGAACUGCUCUGUUUGGAUUUAAUUUUGAAUUAAAAUUUCUGUGUCGUUCA